AUUGAACGCUGGCGGCAUGCUUUACACAUGCAAGUCGAACGGUAACAGGCCGCAAGGUGCUGACGAGUGGCGAACGGGUGAGUAAUGCAUCGGAACGUGCCCAGUCGUGGGGGAUAACGCAGCGAAAGCUGCGCUAAUACCGCAUACGAUCUGUGGAUGAAAGCGGGGAACCUUCGGGCCUCGCGCGAUUGGAGCGGCCGAUGUCAGAUUAGGUAGUUGGUGGGGUAAAGGCUCACCAAGCCGACGAUCUGUAGCUGGUCUGAGAGGACGACCAGCCACACUGGGACUGAGACACGGCCCAGACUCCUACGGGAGGCAGCAGUGGGGAAUUUUGGACAAUGGGGGCAACCCUGAUCCAGCAAUGCCGCGUGCAGGAAGAAGGCCUUCGGGUUGUAAACUGCUUUUGUACGGAACGAAAAGGCUCUGGUUAAUACCUGGGGCACAUGACGGUACCGUAAGAAUAAGCACCGGCUAACUACGUGCCAGCCGCCGCAGUAACAC
rnacentral:rRNA from 1 species